rnacentral:lncRNA from 1 species
AAAGUAUCUCCAGGGAGAAAGGAGAUUUGCACCCAUGAUCAUCUGAAGGUAGAUACAGUUAUACACAAGAUGAAUGGAUUAACCACUGGAAGACCUGCACUACUACAAAUGUUGAAGAAAGUCUUUCCAAGAAAGAAAAAAGGCAAUUUAAUGGAAACUUGUGUCUACCAAAUGGAAAGAAGAGCAAUGGGAAUCCUAACUACGGUAGAAUGAAGAACACUUUUGCAGCUGACUAACAACUCUUGAUAUUGAGAAAGUUAUCAGAAUUAUUUGCAAAUCUCCUCUCAGAUUUGCAAAGGAUGCUGGCAUUUCUCCAUGAGGCAGGUAUACAAGCAACAUUUUGUGAAAUUGUUUGUAAUUGUUGACAAAAUUGUGUGAAAUUUUCCAGAAUUAAAACAGCAUGUAAAAUUUAACUUCUAUAACUUUCUUUAAAAUAAAGGAAAACUUAAUGUG